CUCGGCCUUUCUAACCGGCGGAGACCAGGACAUCCCUUUCCCACGCCACCCGCCCCCGUCCCGGGUUGACCUCUUCCCAGUGGGAGCCCCGCCCUGAGUGAAGUAUGGUAAUCUGUCCCUCCUCCCAGCCGACAGAGGGCGCGAGAGCGCAUAGCGCGAAGCCUGAGACGCUGUUAGGUACGGAAGUGAUGUCAUUCACCGGAAAUGCACUAGGUUUGGAGGACCGGGCUGAAAGGUAAAUAUCACAUUCUCACAGCAAAGGGAGUGUGAAACAUGAGGAAGGCUCCAGGCAAGAUGUGUAUUCAAGCUCCAUGCCAGCUGCUGUCAGUCCCACAGCCCAGAGGGCCCUCCCCACAGACCUGGCUCUGAUGAGAUAAUGACCUCAACAUCGCCAGCCACAUCUCCCAGGGCUUCUGCCACCUUUGGCAGCAGAAGAAAGUUCCAGAAGAAGAACCUGCAUUUGCUACCCUCUGCCCCAAGAAAGAGAAGCAGGAGAUGGGGGAGUCCAGAUCUGCCUAGACAUCUGAAAUGAAAGAAGUCUUAGAAAUAGUCUCACAGAUGGAGGGCUGAUAGCCCUGCAGCAUGAGAAUAUCUGUAAAGCAUGAUGUUGGGGGACCCCCAAAGGGGCAAGGGAAUAACCCCUUGGGAUUGCCCUCUGAGUCUCUCAAACCCAGAGUUCUCAGCCUAUUCAUUAUCAGAUUGCAAAAACUAGGCCCAGCCUAAAAAAAGAUAUCUUUGCUUCUGGCAAGCACAUAAUUCAUUCCAAACAUGUGGUUCACUGCCUCAUUAGAUGACCUCAAGGACAUGUGAAGGCCCAGGACUGACUGUGAUACUGAGGCAGGAUAGCAACAUACCCCUAAAAGGAGCUCAAGUAAGGAUAUAAAAACCAUCAUAGUUCCCAGCAGCUCAGGAGACUGAGUUCAAAGCCAGCCUCAGCAAAAGCAAGGCACUAAGCAACUCAGUGAGAUCCUGUCUCUAAAUAAUAUACAUAAUAGAGCUGCGAAUGUGGCUCAGUGAUUGAGUGCCCCUGAGUUCAAUCCCCAGUACCAUAAGAAAAAAAAAUCAUAGUGAAACAUCCAGAAUAGGUAGACCCAUAGAGCUUAGAGCUGAAAGUAGAUUAGUGUUGCCAGGGGCUGGCAGAAGGGAAGAUGGAGAGUGACUGCUGAUGGGUUUUUAUUGGGAGUGAUGAGAGUAUUCUAGAAUUAUUAGUGUGAGAGUUGCACAACUCUGAAUGUACUGAACACUGUUCACUUGUACACGUCAACAGGGUGAGUUUUAGCCAGUGACUUGGAAGGCUGAGGCAGGAGGCCAGUGUGGGCAACUUAGUGAGGCCCUGUCUCAAAAUAAAAUAAAAUAAGGCUGAGGAUGUAGCUUAGUGGUAAAGCACCCCUAGAUUCAGACCCCAGUACUCUGAAAGAAAAAAAGUGAAUUUUUAAAAAUUUUAAACCAGAAACUAUAUCACUGCCAUGGUAUCAUUGAUUUAAUGUUAUGAUUUUUCUAUACAAGUUAAAAAUAAAGAGCCUGGCACAAUGGCACACACCUGUAAUCCCAGGGCCUUGGGAUGCUCAGGCAGGAGGAGGACAAAAAGU